rnacentral:lncRNA from 1 species
AUGAAAUACUGUGUUGUCCAUUAGUGCAAUAAUUCUAUUCAUAAAGAGAAAAAGACAGGAAAGCAUGUGGCUUUAUUUGCAUAAGUCUCACUCAUGUUACAUUACAACAAUAACUUAUUAAAUGGUUAAUUUUUAAAUAAAAUUUCCAAAAAAUCUGGAACAUCGUACAAAAUGGGUGAAAGCAUUGAAAAAUAUGGCCAUAAAAACAAAUAGCACUGUAUGUCAAGAACAUUUUAAUGAAACCUGUAUGUACAAAACUGGAUUGUCAUCAUUACGUUUGUACGAAGGAUCUGUACCAUCUAUAUUUCCACAUGUUUCUAAUUUAAGCAUAACAAAGUAUACACUGUAACGAAAACAAUAAUGCAUCUUCUGAAGUAUUGAUGGAAGAUGAAUCAACAAUUGGUUCUCAUCAAGGACAAACACAAGAUGAUAUGACAUAUUCAACAAAAACCAAUACUGUGGCGUCAAGUGAUAAAUGUUUAAUAAGAUAUCCAGGAGAUAUUACAACUGAAAAAGUGGCAAACAUGUCGUCAAGUAGUUUAAGGAAGUUUAAUUAUUAAAUUAUUAAAAAAGAUUACUUGCGAAACAUGCCUUUAUCUUUUUAACGAAUGUACAGUUAUAAAGUCUACAUUCAUAGAAAGAAAAAGCUGUGGAUAUUUACAUUAUCCACGAGAAGAUACAUAUAAACUCAUUGUUGCCGCUGAUAAAGUUUUUAAUUUUUAUAAAUUACAGAAUAAUUUGUAUAAGAAAAAUGCAUGCCAAGAAAUAAUUAUAUAAACAAUACGUAAUAUUGAUAUGGAUAAGAAUGUUAUAUACAGAUUCUUAUGAAUUAUGAAGGGAAAUUAAUGAGCCAAAAUAUUGAGUACAUCAGACAUCAGUUUACAAAAAUUAUUUUAUUCAAAGGAAUGAAAAGUGCGAUGAUAGUUCUAAUAAUGGCCGUGUUUGGCACUGGCGGCGCUGCAGAUGUUUAUAGAUGCCCAAAGUCAUUGCUAGCAGUCCAUAGUUAUAUAGUCAAAGGCCAGCACAGAACCACGCAAGAAAAAUAGCACUGGUUCUAUUAUGAAAAUCCAGCAGAGCAGCCAGCAGUGUAGCCAGCAGAAGAGCUAUUUCCAGCAAGAUAGCCAGCAAGAUUUUAUUCUCGGGACCGAAGAUUUAGAUGGAUCUAUUUUGAAAACAGCCAGGUCGAGCGUACCUGGAUUAUAAUAACUCUUCAACAAACGUCUAAAUUGAAUCCGCCGUCCGGCUCUUCUUGUUCUUUUCGGCAUGAGAGAUUUUUAGGCUCAAGACCCCUUGGCAAUCGGCUAACAAGAGGCUCAGCGAUAGAUUGUCUGAUGGCUAGUUGGAGGCUAAUAAGAGACUGGUUAGAGACUGACGAGAGACUGCCUAGAGACUGACUAGCGCGCGAAGGGCCGAGCCCUUUUUAUACCCAAGCCCGACACUAUGGAUAUCAAUUGAGCGUCUUUUCCUAAUUCACCCUUCAUUAUUUAUUGGUUAAAAAAUAUAAAAAUGUUAUUAUCUAGUAAUUAAAAUUAUACUUAAUCAUAUGUAGCGUUUGGUAAUUCAGUUGUCUCGUUGUUGGCUGAUUUAUUAAUAAAAUUAUGUUUUACUAAGAAAUGGAAAUGUUGUUAUUGA